rnacentral:rRNA from 1 species
AUUGAACGCUGGCGGCAGGCCUAACACAUGCAAGUCGAACGAGUGGCGGACGGGUGAGUAAUGUCUGUGAAAAUGCCUGAUGGAGGGGGAUGACUACUGGACACAGUAGCUAAUACCGCAUACCUUGGUAUGUGCCCGGAUGGGAUUGGCUAGUAGGUGGGGUAAAGGCUCACCUAUCCGACGAUCCCUAGCUGGGCGGAGAGGAUGACCAGCCACACUGGAACGGAGAUACGGUCCAGACCCCUACGCGAGGCAGCAGUGGGGAAUAGUGCACAAUGGGCGGAAGCCUGAUGCAGCCAUGCCGCGUGGAGGAAGAAGUCCUUCGGGUUGUAAAUGACUUCCAGUUGGGAAGCGUUACCCACCGAAUAAGCAUCGGCUAACUCCGUGCCAGCAGCCGCGGUAAUUC